ensembl:lncRNA
GUCCUAAGUAAGAAUCAAUGUCUUGAGUUUAAUUGGAUACCACAAGGAUCAAAUUAAAGUACUUUUAGUAGUGCACUGCACACAAUGUACAUUUAGCUGGUAUUAACAUUGGUAAAACAAUGCAACAUUACAUAAAUCUGUCUGAUUACACAAUAUCAAAGUUGCAUGUCAUAUUGAUGUCAAUUCUCUAUGUAUUUGUGAUUUUCUUGUUCAUGUCAGACCUCCCUCAACAUUCACUGAUUCUCGAUGUGAGAACAAGGUGGAAUUCUCUCUACCUAAUGAUGGAGAGAUUCCUUGAACAAUACCCUGCAAUACAAGCAGCCAGCUUGGACCAACGCCUGAGAAAGAAUAUGGAGAGGGACAGGUUCUGUACACCUGCACGCUCUGUGUUUCCACUGAAAAAAGCCCAACAGCCGGACAGAUCCUGCCGAUCAUCCAAAAGCUGGAGAAACACUUUAAAUGGAGACACAGCAUUUGUAGCUGACUUGAAGAAAAGGGUCUGGGGAAACAUGUCUACCCGGUACAAGUUUUGUUUUUAUUGUUUUAAAGAAUGAGGACAUCAGGUUCUUCUUGGAAGAAGCCACUGCCUUAGAUCCCCGCUUCAAGAAUAAGAUGGACAACAACACCGCAGUCUGGGAACGGAUCAAGGGGAAGUUGCUGGCAAACUCUGAAGC